UUGAUCCUGGCUCAGGAUGAACGCUAGCGGCAGGCUUAACACAUGCAAGUCGAGGGGCAGCGGGGAGGAAGCUUGCUUUCUCCGCCGGCGACCGGCGCACGGGUGAGUAACACGUAUGCAACCUGCCCCUGUCAGGGGGACAACCCGCCGAAAGGCGGGCUAAACCCGCGUACAUGCCACCGGGGCAUCCCGGAGGCAGGAAAGGCUUCGGCCGGACAGGGAUGGGCAUGCGGCGCAUUAGGCAGUAGGCGGGGUAACGGCCCACCUAACCGACGAUGCGUAGGGGUUCUGAGAGGAAGGUCCCCCACACUGGUACUGAGACACGGACCAGACUCCUACGGGAGGCAGCAGUGAGGAAUAUUGGUCAAUGGUCGGGAGACUGAACCAGCCAAGCCGCGUGAGGGAUGAAGGUACAGAGUAUCGUAAACCUCUUUUGUCAGGGAACAAAGGCGGGGACGUGUCCCCGGAUGAGUGUACCUGAAGAAAAAGCAUCGGCUAACUCCGUGCCAGCAGCCGCGGUAAUACGGAGGAUGCGAGCGUUAUCCGGAUUUAUUGGGUUUAAAGGGUGCGCAGGCGGUCUGUUAAGUCAGCGGUCAAAGCCCGGGGCUCAACCCCGGCCCGCCGUUGAAACUGGCAGUCUCGAGUUGGAGAGAAGUAUGCGGAAUGCGCGGUGUAGCGGUGAAAUGCAUAGAUAUCGCGCAGAACUCCGAUUGCGAAGGCAGCAUGCCGGCUCCACACUGACGCUGAGGCACGAAAGCGUGGGUAUCGAACAGGAUUAGAUACCCUGGUAGUCCACGCAGUAAACGAUGAAUGCUGGCUGUCCGGGGGGACUGACCCCUGGGUGGCGAAGCGAAAGCGAUAAGCAUUCCACCUGGGGAGUACGCGGGCAACGGUGAAACUCAAAGGAAUUGACGGGGGCCCGCACAAGCGGAGGAACAUGUGGGUAAUUCGAUGAUACGCGAGGAACCUUACCCGGGCUCAAACGGGGAGUGACUCAGGCAGAGACGCCUGUUUCCCACGGGACACUCCCCGAGGUGCUGCAUGGUUGUCGUCAGCUCGUGCCGUGAGGUGUCGGCUUAAGUGCCAUAACGAGCGCAACCCCCCGCGUGCAGUUGCUAACAGUCAACGCUGAGGACUCUGCACGGACUGCCGGCGCAAGCCGCGAGGAAGGCGGGGAUGACGUCAAAUCAGCACGGCCCUUACGUCCGGGGCGACACACGUGUUACAAUGGGUGGUACAGCGGGAAGCCAGGCGGCGACGCCAAGCGGAACCCGAAAUCCACUCUCAGUUCGGAUCGGAGUCUGCAACCCGACUCCGUGAAGCUGGAUUCGCUAGUAAUCGCGCAUCAGCCAUGGCGCGGUGAAUACGUUCCCGGGUCUUGUACACACCGCCCGUCAAGCCAUGGGAGCCGAGGGCGCUUGAAGUGCGUCGCCGCGAGGCGCGCCCUAGAGCGAAAUCGGUGACUGGGGCUAAGUCGUAACAAGGUAGCCGU
rnacentral:rRNA from 1 species